rnacentral:lncRNA from 10 species
GUAAGUCUGAAGACAAUUUCAGCACUAUUGGACUUACAUUAGGAGAAAACUGCUUAAAAAGAGAUAAUCCACUUUAAAGCAAGAAAACAAGAUAAUUCAAGGGAAAAAUGUAUGACUCUAAAUUUGGAAACCAGACAGGAUCUGCUAAUACGGGGCAGAAUGUUAAAAAGAGGAUGAAUUUUGAUUUCAGAAAAUUUAGAAGAAAAUGGAUUUCUCAGGCAACUGAAAGAACAUAUUUGGAUCUGUUAAGAUGAAAGGAGACUUCAAGAGAACUGGACUUUGUGUUGGACAGGCUGUCUGUGACAGGGAAAAAACCCCUUCUGAAUGAUUAGGGAUGAAUCAGUUAACUUGCUUGAGUUUCACAUUCUUCAUCUGUAAAAUCUGGUGAUUAGACUGGCCCAGCAAAAGAUAUAAUGGGCAAAAGAUAUAAUACACAUAAAUUGGAAUGAAUCUGCAUUUUCCAAGCCUGAUGACUUUAUUAAAACUGAAUUAAGUCACUAACUGGCAGCCUGAAGAUGAAAGGAAAGAACUCAGUCAUGCUUCUUAAGGUAAAAGGGCAGUCUAACUGAGAAUUUUGUUAUCUCUGAGGACAAAUUACAAGGAGAUAAAGACACUCAAGAUCACAUGGAAGGCUUCUGCUCCCACUUAGAGACUGCAAUGUAAGGUAUGGAAACAGAAUAUUCUCUAUAGAAACAUACAUAUUAAAAUAUGAACAUUUUUGUUCUUAUUUCAAUCCAAAAAUAAAUAAAUGAAUUAAAUGUCAAAGAUAUCCAUUCUAAUUUGGAACUUCUCUGUUCAUAACCUAUUAUGCAGUGGGCGCUAAAAAUCUGUUCAUGGUAUAUGACUGAAUAUUGUCUAUGAAAUGUGUAGGUGUUAAACAAAUGCCACGGUUUAUUUAUUAUAAGAAACUUUUUUACAUUUUAACAUCUCUGAAAUGUGGAUAACACUUUAUUUUAUUUUACUUUAUUUAUUUUCGAGAUGGAGUUUCGCUCUUGUUGCCCAGGC